rnacentral:rRNA from 1 species
GAUGAACGCUGGCGGCGUGCCUAAUACAUGCAAGUCGAGCGAACGGACGAGAAGCUUGCUUCUCUGAUGUUAGCGGCGGACGGGUGAGUAACACGUGGAUAACCUACCUAUAAGACUGGGAUAACUUCGGGAAACCGGAUCUAAUACCGGAUAUUAUUUUGAACCGCAGGGUUCAAAAGUAAAAGACGUCUUUUCGUUCACUUAUAGAGGUUUCCCGGCUGCAUUAGCUAGUUGGUAAGGUAACGGCUUACCAAGGCAACGAUGCAUAGCCGACCUGAGAGGGUGAUCGGCCACACGGGAACUGAGACACGGUCCAGACUCCUACGGGAGGCAGCAGUAGGGAAUCUUCCGCAAUGGGCGAAAGCCUGACGGAGCAACGCCGCGUGAGUGAUGAAGGUCUUCGGAUCGUAAAACUCUGUUAUUAGGGAAGAACAUAUGUGUAAGUAACUGUGCACAUCUUGACGGUACCUAAUCAGAAAGCCACGGCUAACUACGUG